UACGUAGGUGGCAAGCGUUGUCCGGAUUUACUGGGCGUAAAGAGCGCGCAGGCGGUCGUUCAAGUCGCGUGUGAAAGCCCCCGGCUCAACUGGGGAGGGUCACGCGAUACUGAUCGACUCGAAGGCAGGAGAGGGUAGUGGAAUUCCCGGUGUAGUGGUGAAAUGCGUAGAUAUCGGGAGGAACACCAGUGGCGAAGGCGACUACCUGGCCUGUUCUUGACGCUGAGGCGCGAAAGCCAGGGGAGCGAACGGG
rnacentral:rRNA from 1 species